rnacentral:rRNA from 1 species
UACAGAGGGGGCAAGCGUUAUUCGGAAUUAUUGGGCGUAAAGCGCGCGUAGGUGGCAAGUUAAGUCGGAUGUGAAAGCCCUGGGCUCAACCUAGGAAUUGCAUUCGAUACUGGCUAGCUCGAGUUUGGUAGAGGAGAGUGGAAUUCCCGGUGUAGCGGUGAAAUGCGUAGAGAUGGGGAGGAACAUCAGUGGCGAAGGCGGCUCUCUGGACCAAAACUGACACUGAGGCGCGACAGCGUGGGGAGCAAACAGG